rnacentral:rRNA from 1 species
GCAGCCGCCGCGGUAAAACGUAGGUCCCGAGCGUUGUCCGGAUUUAUUGGGCGUAAAGCGAGCGCAGGCGGUUAGAUAAGUCUGAAGUUAAAGGCUGUGGCUUAACCAUAGUACGCUUUGGAAACUGUUUAACUUGAGUGCAAGAGGGGAGAGUGGAAUUCCAUGUGUAGCGGUGAAAUGCGUAGAUAUAUGGAGGAACACCGGUGGCGAAAGCGGCUCUCUGGCUUGUAACUGACGCUGAGGCUCGAAAGCGUGGGGAGCAAACAGGAUUAGAUACCCGGGUAGUCCCUGUCUCUUAUACA